GCAGAGCCUAUCUCUCGUACCUUUUGCAUCAUGAUUCAGCAAGUUUACUCAAGCGAAGAGCACUCUAGUUUGCACUCCCGAAACUUGACGAGCUACUCCAAGACAGCCAACCAUGGGCUAACCCGUCUCUGUGGCAAAAGAGUGGGAAGAUCUUCGAGUAGAGGCAAAAAACCUACCGAGCCAAGUUAUAGCUGGUUGCCCAAUAAAUGAAUACAAGUUCAGCCCUGUCUAGCCCAACUCACGCCAGUUUUACAAAGAAAGACGAAGAGCUUGCCGACAGGAGUUAAUCAGAGGAGGUACAGCUCCCCUGAUACAGGACACAACCUUUUUAGGAGGUAAAAGAGUAUUAUCAAACAAGGCCUUGAGUCUCAGUGGGCCUGAAAGCAGCCAUCUGAUGUGAAAGCGUUAAAGCUCCGACCUAAAAGAAGCCUAUUAUUAGAUCUUAAUUUCUGUUCCCCUAAACCUUAUUGAGCCUUUUCAUGCACCCAUGGAAGAGACUAUGCUGAAACGAGUAACAAGAAGAAUGAACUUCUCCACGCACAAGUGUAUGUCAAAUUGGACCAACCAUUGACAAUCAACGAACCCAGCAAAAGAGGGCCUUACCCACCCGUCACUUCUGACCAAGAAAAUCACGUUAUCCGGAGUCGUUACCCCAACACAGGAGUGCUAGAACAAGGAAAGACUUAAAGAAAAAAAAGGAACUCGGCAAACCCAGACCUCGCCUGUUUACCAAAAACAUCGCCUCUUGCACCCCAAAGUAUAAGAGGUCCCACCU
rnacentral:rRNA from 1 species